GCUGCGGGUUGCCUUAAAGGACGCAGGAAAGAAAAGGACAACAGAGCUUUUCUUGGGUAUGCAAAUGCACAGACUGCAGCUACAAAGCAUGUGUGUUUGAACCUCAGAUGUGCUGCCAUGAUACUAUUAAGGAGGUCUGAUAUAUCAGCGUGUGCAAACAUUGCUCUCUUUGUCUGAAAUUCUCCCUGAAGAGCACACACAGUGGAUAAUUCAUAAAAAGUCAAUUGUUUGAAGGUGUUUAAAACUUUACGCCUGGACGAAACAGAACAAAGAGGCCUUAUUUAAAGUGUGGAGUAAAAAAGGAGAAGCUCAAUUCUUCAAAAUGCAAACUCAAUUAUAUAAAAUUAAACCCUGAAAAGCAUCAAGUUUUAGAGGUUCUUCCCUGAAGGUUUUUUUUUUUUCUAAAGAGAUUCCUCGCCAUUAAAACCUCCUCUCUGUUCUCACAAUCCCCCUGAGGAGGCUGGUGCAAAGUCUGCCGCUGUCUGGCUGUUCCCAUGGCAACCACCAGGUGAGCAGACAGGCUUGGAAAGCACGGCGGAGAACAUGUGACUCCCUCCACAUGCUCAGGCACACCACAUACACACACACACACACACACACACACACACACAUACUUUCUCCCUCUACAGGAGGAGAACUCUCCGUUAUAUCCAAACUUGUGAGAACACAGUGUAAUCACAAAAAGGCAAUGUUUGGGGAGACUGAAAGCAGACGAGCAGAUGACCAGUCUGCCAGUCCGUCUGUUUACCACUCUCUGUGUCUGUCUCUCUCUCUGACACUUACAUGCACACAUAUAAAUACACAGUGUCUCAUGUAUUGAAGAGUGAGGAGGAGGAGGAGGAGGCUGUCUUAGAGGGGGGCAACUGAGAUGUGUCAUAAGCACUGAACGUCAAGUCCAGUUCUGCUACAGCGGCAAAAAAAAAAUUUGAAAAAAGAAAAAAGAGGGGGGAGAAGGGGAGCAUAGCACCUCUUUCAGGUCCAGUAAUGCUUUGGGCUUAACUUAAGUUUCCAAAGCUGUUUUCACACAAGGUAAAAUUGCAGAAAAGUUCCCUGAAAUGUCCUGAGGGCCACACCUGUGCACACAAACAGCAAACUUUCACCCCUGAUUCUUCCCAAGCUCUUCCCUUCCAGACUUUCGAUAGAUUUUCUGCAAAACAAAAAAGUCAGGGGGAAAAUCACAGUGAGGGAGGUAGGUGUGGAUGACGGGCUAUUUAGUAAUAACACCAGUUCAGUUGUUAGGCAUCCUACCAAAUAUAAUGACAAUUCUCCUAAUGGUUUCAAAACCACAACAAUCCACAUCAUGGAGGCUGUAAAAGAAAAGUCAUGGGCUUCAUCCUCUGGGGACCAUGACUGUCUGUAAAAAAAUCAUCCUGGCAAUCCUUCAAAUAAUGGCUGAGAUAUUUUAGUGCAGAUAAAAGUGGUGAACAGAUGGACAGACCAACAGACAGACCAUCUGACCGGCUAGAGCUGCACCUGUGAGGUUCACACAAAGAGUAUUUGCAGUGUGUAUUAACCAUUGAUUCAGGCUUAUCUACCAUUAUGACCAGAACCUUUCAAUCUGCAAACAUAAGACUCAUCAGACAGCACAUUGACUCCACUGUCCAUUUAGUUAAUAGACUUUAUAUAUGUCUACUCUCUUCAGGGUGCCUAAAAAUCACUACAUCUUAAUUUGCCUUUGUCAAGAGUUUUUAGAAGCAGAAUGAAAACAUGCAGAUGUCUCUUAAAGGGAUAUUCCGGCGUAAAAUUUAGUUAGGGUCAAACACACAGUAACACCUAGUUAGACACCCCCUCCAGAGAUGAAUGUUGCCGAUCACUUGCUUCUCUAGUUAUACCAGCUUAAGUAACUACCGCAUGAUAGCAAUACACAGCGGUCUGAAGCGCCACACGUUCAACCAAAACGCCACUCUAUAGCGUCAAAUAAUGCUCAGAACAGCACUUAACUUCAUCAACAGUACAUAUAGGGUCCCAGCCACAGCGCUAGCCACCAAACAUCUUUUUAACUUUGCCUAUUUUCUUUAGCAAAGAGAAUAAACACAAUUCACCUACUCUCUUCCAGCAGCCACUUGUUUGUAGCGAGACCUCGGGCCAGUCCAUUACGGACUACAGCAGGGUGACACAGCUCAAGGAAGAACAUUUAUAAUCAUUUCUUCAUGGAAAUACAAUCAGACAGAGACGCUAAAACAGAAGAACUACCGCAUCUGCAGAGCAAAAUGAUUAAUAUGGUGAUUAUUACUUUUAGGAAAUGAUAAA
rnacentral:lncRNA from 1 species